rnacentral:rRNA from 1 species
CAGCCGCCGCGGUAAUACAGAGGGUGCGAGCGUUAAUCGGAUUUACUGGGCGUAAAGCGUGCGUAGGCGGCUUCUUAAGUCGGAUGUGAAAUCCCUGAGCUUAACUUAGGAAUUGCAUUCGAUACUGGCAAGCUAGAGUAUGGGAGAGGAUGGUAGAAUUCCAGGUGUAGCGGUGAAAUGCGUAGAGAUCUGGAGGAAUACCGAUGGCGAAGGCAGCCAUCUGGCCUAAUACUGACGCUGAGGUACGAAAGCAUGGGGAGCAAACAGGAUUAGAUACCCCCGUAGUCCCUGUCUCUUAUAU